UGGGGAAUAUUGCACAAUGGGCGCAAGCCUGAUGCAGCCAUGCCGCGUGUGUGAAGAAGGCCUUCGGUUGUAAAGCACUUUCAGCGAGGAGGAAGGUGGUGGACUUAAUACGUUCAUCAAUUGACGUUACUCGCAGAAGAAGCACCGGCUAACUCCGUGCCAGCAGCCGCGGUAAUACGGAGGGUGCAAGCGUUAAUCGGAAUUACUGGGCGUAAAGCGCACGCAGGCGGUUUGUUAAGUCAGAUGUGAAAUCCCCGGGCUCAACCUGGGAACUGCAUUUGAAACUGGCAAGCUAGAGUCUCGUAGAGGGGGUAGAAUUCCAGGUGUAGCGGUGAAAUGCGUAGAGAUCUGGAGGAAUACCGGUGGCGAAGGCGGCCCCCUGGACGAAGACUGACGCUCAGGUGCGAAAGCGUGGGGAGCAAACA
rnacentral:rRNA from 1 species